UUACGGCCAUAUCACGUUGAAACACCAGCACUUGUACGAUCACCGAAGUUAAGCAACGUUGAACCUGGCCAGUACCUAGAUGGGUGAACGCUUGGGAAUGCCAGGUGCUGUAAG